CCCUUAGAUGUUCUGGGCCGCACGCGCGCUACACUGAUGCAUUCAACGAGCCUAUCCUUGACCGACAGGUCCGGGUAAUCUUUGAAUCUGCAUCGUGACGGGGAUAGAUUGUUGCAAUUAUUAAUCUUCAACGAGGAAUGCCUAGUAGGCGCAAGUCAUCAGCUUGCGUCGAUUACGUCCCUGCCCUUUGUACACACCGCCCGUCGCUCCUACCGAUUGGGUGUGCUGGUGAAAUGUUCGGAUCGGCCGUUUGUCGCGGUUUCCGCGGCUCGUGGCUGAGAAGUUCAUUAAACCCUCCCACCUAGAGGAAGGAGAAGUCGUAACA
rnacentral:rRNA from 1 species